CAGUCGCCGCGGGAAUACGGAGGGUGCAAGCGUUAAUCGGAAUUACUGGGCGUAAAGCGCGCGUAGGUGGUUUGUUAAGUUGGAUGCGAAAUCCCCGGGCUUAACCUGGGAACUGCAUUUGAAACUGGCAGGCUAGAGUCUUGUAGAGGGGGGUAGAAUUCCAGGUGUAGCGGUGAAAUGCGUAGAGAUCUGGAGGAAUACCGGUGGCGAAGGCGGCCCCCUGGGCCAACACUGACGCUCAUGCACGAAAGCGUGGGGAGCAAACAGGAUUAGAUACCCCGGUAGUCCCUGUCUCUUAUAC
rnacentral:rRNA from 1 species